rnacentral:rRNA from 1 species
GACGAACGCUGGCGGCGUGCUUAACACAUGCAAGUCGAACGGAAAGGCCCUGCUCUUGCGGGGUGCUCGAGUGGCGAACGGGUGAGUAACACGUGAGUAACCUGCCCUUGACUUUGGGAUAACUUCAGGAAACUGGGGCUAAUACCGGAUAGGAGCUCCUGCUGCAUGGUGGGGGUUGGAAAGUUUCGGCGGUUGGGGCUGGACUCGCGGCUUAUCAGCUUGUUGGUGGGGUAGUGGCUUACCAAGGCUUUCACGGGUAGCCGGCCUGAGCGGGUGACCGGCCACAUAGGGACUGAGGUACGGCACAGGCUCCUACGGGAGGGAGCAGUGGGGAAGAUUGAACAAUGGGCGGAGGCCUGAUGCAGCAACGCCGCGUGCGGGAUAACGGCCUUCGGGUUGUAAACCGCUUUCGCCUGUGACGAAGCGUGAGUGACGGUAAUGGGUAAAGAAGCACCGGCUAACUACGUG